GCGGAGGAAAAGAAACCAACAGGGAUUGCCUCAGUAACGGCGAGUGAAGCGGCAACAGCUCAAAUUUGAAAUCUGGAGUCUUUCGGCUUCCGAGUUGUAAUUUGAAGAGGAUGUUUCGGUGCGACCUGGGCCUAAGUUCCUUGGAACAGGACGUCAUGGAGGGUGAGAAUCCCGUACAUGGCUGCAGGUUUGCUUCUAUGUGAAACUCCUUCGAAGAGUCGAGUUGUUUGGGAAUGCAGCUCAAAAUGGGUGGUAAAUUUCAUCUAAAGCUAAAUAUUGGCGGGAGACCGAUAGCGCACAAGUAGAGUGAUCGAAAGAUGAAAAGCACUUUGAAAAGAGAGUUAAACAGUACGUGAAAUUG
rnacentral:rRNA from 1 species